rnacentral:rRNA from 1 species
GGACGAACGCUGGCUGCGUGCUUUUACACAUGCAAGUCGAACGAUGAACCACUUCGGUGGGGAUUAGUGGCGAACGGGUGAGUAACACGUGGGCAAUCUGCCCUGCACUCUGGGACAAGCCCUGGAAACGGGGUCUAAUACCGGAUAUGAGCCUCCUCCGCAUGGUGGAGGCUGUAAAGCUCCGGCGGUGCAGGAUGAGCCCGCGGCCUAUCAGCUUGUUGGUGAGGUAACGGCUCACCAAGGCGACGACGGGUAGCCGGCCUGAGAGGGCGACCGGCCACACUGGGACUGAGACACGGCCCAGACUCCUACGGGAGGCAGCAGUGGGGAAUAUUGCACAAUGGGCGAAAGCCUGAUGCAGCGACGCCGCGUGAGGGAUGACGGCCUUCGGGUUGUAAACCUCUUUCAGCAGGGAAGAAGCGAAAGUGACGGUACCUGCAGAAGAAGCGCCGGCUAACUACGUGCCAGCAGCCGCGGUAAUACGUAGGGCGCAAGCGUUGUCCGGAAUUAUUGGGCGUAAAGAGCUCGUAGGCGGCUUGUCACGUCGGUUGUGAAAGCCCGGGGCUUAACCCCGGGUCUGCAGUCGAUACGGGCAGGCUAGAGUUCGGUAGGGGAGAUCGGAAUUCCUGGUGUAGCGGUGAAAUGCGCAGAUAUCAGGAGGAACACCGGUGGCGAAGGCGGAUCUCUGGGCCGAUACUGACGCUGAGGAGCGAAAGCGUGGGGAGCGAACAGGAUUAGAUACCCUGGUAGUCCACGCCGUAAACGGUGGGCACUAGGUGUGGGCAACAUUCCACGUUGUCCGUGCCGCA